CGCCGCGGGGCGGGAGCGCUGAGGGCAGGUGCACCGUGGAACCAUGGAAUGGGAAAAGCUGGGAGGCACCGCAGUCUGGGCCAAAAUGCAAGCGGGGUCAGCCUAGAGCACACGGCUCAGGAUUGCUUCCAGACGGUUCCUGGAUAACCGGGAGACUCCACGAUCUCUCCGGGCGACCUGUACACUUGCUCACUUCUCCCCCACACCCAGUGUGGGGGGAAACAGAAAAGGAAAAGCAAGGAAACUCGUAGGUCAAGGUACCAGAGCAUCCUAUGAAAUCUGAUCCUGUUGGCUCUAAUCUUUGGCUGGCCAUUUAUGUACUGAAUUUGCAGAGUUGCAAACAAAGGCUGGGAUCAUGAUGGGGAGGCAAGAAGAGGCAGGACUCUGCAGGGCCAGGUGGAGCGAGGGCAUCUUUGAAGGAUCACCACCGUGGAAAUACAAGUUCUGCAUGCCGGAAUUAAAGCAAAACAGAGCCCAGUGCACUCCCUACUUUGGAUUUCAAUGUAUCCUACUUGACCCUUGCCUGUGCUGGGCUUCACUCACAUCCAAAAGCUUUGUCCACACCUGAGGAGGCAUCAGGUUCAGAGUGAAGAUGGCUCAAGCUGUUUCCUUGGUCCUGUUGCUCCAGCUGUCAGCGGAGGCAGGCUGUCGUUGCUUAUCUGGCUGCUAAAUCCUUCACAACUCCCCAUGUGAUAUCUUACAAACAUUUUGGAAUGAACUGAUGUGCAGAUUUGCAAAUUAUUCAUAGGAACCUGUGCCUCAGCUUGCAGUAUAUCUUUUCAGAGCCAUGGCAGGCAACCGGCUACCCAAAGUUAAGAAGUUUGGGGGAGCAGAGUGGGACUGGGUUCCACUCAGGGAUGCUGGAUAUCCUGAGUGACCAGUGGAUGGAUGGAAGGUGUGGGUAUGUGCAGCAUCUGGCAUUUCUCUGCUUUCUGUUCUCUGCCUAAGGGCAUAGUGAAGAAUUACCAGGGUCUGCAGUUAUUUUCAAGAGUAGGUGGAGUGGGCAAAUGGGUGUGCUGAUGCCUGGUGGUCUCUGCUGAAUGGGUAAGGGGACAUACAGUUCUGUGGAGGCAGAAAAAUGUACUGGAGGCUGGGAGAGAGCGGCUGUAACAGGGACACUCUGAAGGACGUGGAGAUGUGGAGUUAACCUGUGAUUAUUUUAGGAGAACAAGAGAGCUGAAGGAACCUUUUCAUCCAGAACAGGAGAGUGCUGUUCCACUGAUGCAAGGAGCCACACUGAUGGCAAGUGAGAAGAUUUUCAGGUCUUUCUGUGCUUGGUUCUUUGCGAGAUGUCAGCAUUCCUGUCCCUGGCUGCUCAGGAGGAGCAAGGGAGUGGCUGGAGGCACGUGGCGUCUGCCCAGCUUCAGCUCUGCCCAAGACAAGGAAACCCUCAAGAUGAGAUAAGGCAGGUCUGAUAGGGAG